UAUCAGUUUUAAGGUUAAUGG
rnacentral:snRNA from 1 species